GUUGACACACCGGUUCCCGUACGAUCACCGAAGUUAAGCAACGUCGAGCCUGUUCAGUAUCUAGAUGCCUGACUAAAUGGGAAUACCAGGUGCUGUAAG